rnacentral:rRNA from 1 species
CAGGCCUAACACAUGCAAGUCGAGCGGAGCGAGGGUGCUUGCACCUUAGCUUAGCGGCGGACGGGUGAGUAAUGCUUAGGAAUCUGCCUAUUAGUGGGGGACAACAUUCCGAAAGGAAUGCUAAUACCGCAUACGCCCUACGGGGGAAAGCAGGGGAUCUUCGGACCUUGCGCUAAUAGAUGAGCCUAAGUCGGAUUAGCUAGUUGGUGGGGUAAAGGCCUACCAAGGCGACGAUCUGUAGCGGGUCUGAGAGGAUGAUCCGCCACACUGGGACUGAGACACGGCCCAGACUCCUACGGGAGGCAGCAGUGGGGAAUAUUGGACAAUGGGCGGAAGCCUGAUCCAGCCAUGCCGCGUGUGUGAAGAAGGCCUUUUGGUUGUAAAGCACUUUAAGCGAGGAGGAGGCUCUUAAGGUUAAUACCCUUGAUGAGUGGACGUUACUCGCAGAAUAAGCACCGGCAACUCGG